UUCUACCUGUUUUAUGUUGAAACUGGCCAGAUCCAGCCUUUCACACCUACCCCACAAUGUCACUCUAAAAAUAAGUAAUUGCAUCAUCAAAAUCUCAGGGCUACAAGA